UACGGAGGGUGCAAGCGUUGUUCGGAUUCAUUGGGCGUAAAGGGUGCGUAGGCGGCGCGGUAAGUCGGGUGUGAAAUUUCGAGGCUUAACUUCGAAACUGCAUUCGAUACUGCCGUGCUUGAGGACUGGAGAGGAGACUGGAAUUUACGGUGUAGCGGUGAAAUGCGUAGAUAUCGUAAGGAAGACCAGUGGCGAAGGCGGGUCUCUGGACAGUUCCUGACGCUGAGGCACGAAGGCCAGGGGAGCAAACGGG
rnacentral:rRNA from 1 species